ensembl:lncRNA
GUGGAGGGAGGCUGUGGAGGGAGAGGAGGAUGCAGGGAGGCUGUGGAGGGAGAGGAGGGGAUGCAGGGAGGCUGUGGAGGGAGAGGAGGAUGAAGGGAGGCUGUGGAGGGAGAGGAGGAUGAAGGGAGGCUGUGGAGGGAGAGGAGGAUGAAGGGAGGCUGUGGAGGGAGAGGAGGAUGAAGGGAGGCUGUGGAGGGAGAGGAGGAUGCAGGGAGGCUGUGGAGGGAGAGGAGGAUGAAGGGAGGCUGUGGAGGGAGG